GCCCCUGUAGUAUAAAGGAUAGAAUGCAAGGUUGCGGUCCUUGAGAUCGGGGUUCAAUUCCUCGCAGGGGCG
rnacentral:tRNA from 1 species